AUUUGAAGCCCAUCAAUAGGAUAAUAGAUGGCCUCAUAUUGGCAUCUCAACCUUAUCCAUUGUAGUAUCUGUCUCCCUAAAAGCCUUGUACAAUCGCUACACACAUCUUCUAAUCAACCUGAACCAAUGGCUUCCUUGCAUCCAUCCAUGCUCAAGAUGGCCCCUCUUGUCCUCUGCGCCAUGCUAGCUAUGGCGUCAAUGGCGAUAGCCAAUGAGGCAUGUGCAAUGGCCUGCUUAGAUUCAUGCAGAGAUACUGCAAGAGCGGCAUGCCAAGUGCUCUACGAAGCUGCGGUGAUUAGGCUCUUCAUUCGUCAGGUGGGCACUGGAAGCAUAUAUAUCUGUAUUUUGUUGUUACUUCACUAAUACUUUUGUUGAGUAAAGUGUGAAGGCAUGGAAACUAGAUUCCAUGAGAUCAAAUCUACAUGGUUGAAUCAUGCGAGCAUGCAGGCAACUCAACUUUCACUUUUAAUGUUUUCGCCUUAAUUUCAAUAAUGCAUCACUUGUCGCUGGUUGGCUCAUGAUCACACUAUUGUGCAAUUUUGUAAUAAUGUUUCACACACACA